UACGGAGGGUGCAAGCGUUAUCCGGAUUCACUGGGCUUAAAGGGUGCGUAGGUGGGCUAGUAAGUCAGUGGUGAAAUCUCCGGGCUUAACCCGGAAACUGCCAUUGAUACUAUUAGUCUUGAAUACCAUGGAGGUGAGCGGAAUAUGUCAUGUAGCGGUGAAAUGCUUAGAUAUGACAUAGAACACCAAUUGCGAAGGCAGCUCGCUAGGCGGUUAUUGACACUGAGGCACGAAAGCGUGGGGAGCAAACAGG
rnacentral:rRNA from 1 species